UCACAUCUCCCGACCCCACCCUGAGUUUUUGCACACAGGGGCCAAUGCUGGGGUCCUCUAUCUUUUCUGCAGCCCGCUGAAAGGCCAGGCUCAAAGUGGCACUCCAUAAAUAUUUGCUGACGGAGACAUUUUCUUAGGGAAGAGCAAGAGAUUUGGAGUCGGAAGACCUGGAGUUAAGUCUUGGUUCAACCAUGGGGGCUGAGCAAGUCCACUCGCUCUCUCUGGACCUGUAAAGCACCAACAUGUGUCUCCUGUAUGUAAGGCCCAUGUGAGGAGGAAGCCAGGGGAGAUUUGCAGCUCUUUGUAAACUGUGAAGGGAUGGAGCCACACCUGUCACAGCAAUUCCAGCCUUCUCUCACUACUCCUCGAAGUUCAGCAUUUCGUGUGUCCGGCGUACUUAUACCAAGGGUCACCAGACACCUGUGUGUGGUGCCUGCACACUGGUUCACAUCCACACCUGCCCCCUCUAAGCUGACCGGCCAGCCUGCUCUCUUCCAGCUGCUCAGCAGCCCUCUCAGCCAGCAGCUCCAAGAACAGAGGGUGCUAAUUGGAUGCUGAAGGCCCACCGCCUCUCUAUCAGCCCAGCCCGGCCUGGUCCAGGCCCUGGCUUUCCGGACCCAGCUCCUGUCCCUGGUUCUAGCACUAGCUCAUCCUCCCUGGGAAAAUGCCAUGCCUUUCAAGUAGAAACAGAUCAACUGGCCUGCAGCUUGUGCCAGGAUUCUUGAGGAGCCCAGGACAGGACAGAGGCAAGGUCAGUGGGGGAUGAUGUGAGCGCCUGGGGGCCAGGUGGAUAAGGUGGGAGACAGGGAGCCUUGCCACUGUCUGUUUCUGGUAUCUCUUUGUUCUUGGGCCUCUAUUUCCCUAUCUGCACACGG